AUUGAACGCUGGCGACAGGCUUAACACAUGCAAGUCGAACGAACGGCGGACGGGUGGGUAAUGUCUGGGAAACUGCCUGAUGGAGGGGGAUAACUACUGGAAACGGUAGCUAAUACCGCAUACCAUCGGAUGUGCCCAGAUGGGAUUAGCUAGUGGGUGGGGUAAUGGCUCACCUAGGCGACGAUCCCUAGCUGGUCUGAGAGGACGACCAGCCACACUAGAACGGAGACACGGUCCAGACUCCUACGGGAGGCAGCAGUGGGGAAUAUUGGACAAUGGGCGCAAGCCUGAUGCAGCCAUGCCGCGUGUGUGAAGAAGGCCUUCGGGUUGUAAAGCACUUUCAGCGAGGAGGCGUUACCCGCAGAAGAAGCACCGGCUAACUCCGUGCCAGCAGCCGCGGUAAUUC
rnacentral:rRNA from 1 species